rfam:Triticum aestivum genome assembly, contig: Triticum_aestivum_CS42_TGACv1_scaffold_423193_5BS
UAACUACUCCCUCCGUCUAAAAAAUCUUGUCCUUCAAAUGGAUGUAUCUAGCACCAAAUUAGUGCUAGAUACAUCCAUUUGAGGGACAAGGUUUUUCGGACGAAGGGAGUAUGUC